GAUAUCAUGACCCAUUAAAAAUAACAACAAGCAGUAAGGCUAAUACUCUGCCACCUCAGCCUUGCAGAUGCUUCUACAAUAUAUGGACACCUACAAAUGAGACCUUCACACCUUACAGCUGCAGUAAACAAGAGAACAUUGAUAAUUGUGACUCCAAAGAUUCUAAUUCUCUCUGGAUAUACUGUGUUAUUUCUAACACAUUGAAGAAAAAGGAGGAGACAAAUAUUUCAUCUUCGCCCUCAUGGCACUGA
rnacentral:lncRNA from 1 species